UUUACUCAAUGCCACAACAAUGUCACAAGCUAGCCAACAUCCUAGGAGCACCACAACAUCUAUUGGGCAUCGAUCACCUCUCAAACCAGUGCUAUAAAUGACCCAUAAUCAGACAAUGUGGGCUAAGAUAUACAAGGAGGCCCGAUUCACUCUUCAAUAGAGAACUUAGCCGACUAGCAGCUUGGAGGAAGAGAAAAUGAAGGAACCACCUAGAGAGAAUCAAGAAAUAUCAACGGGAGAGAAUUAGGGAACAUAUUAGGAAAUCCAGGAGAAGUUGGGUGGUUCUAAAGGGAUUUAACACUAUAAAAGGGAGAGCUUGGUAAAAGGAAAGGACAUCGAUUUUGGCAUCAGUUGAAAAUCAAUUGUGCGUGAGUCUUUGUAAGAAGCACAAAAAGAGGAGAGAACCAAGAAGCGGUUGAGAGCAUUCAAACAUUGGAAGAUGAAGCAAGGAGGAGGAGCACGACUUGAGCAAGCCACAGAGAACCACUGAAAUUUGUGGUGAAUUGUGAAGUAUGGGGCUCCUCUUUCGCGAAAUUAUAAUCGAAAUCGUUCGGAGUGCAGGGGUUCUGGUGGUCUCGGGAUGGUUUUUGCAUCAAAAUGAUACCAAGUGUAUACCUGAAUAAUGAAAAAUUGAGUUUUGGCGAAAGCCAAAAAACUGUUCUGUUGAUGCCACGCGGGCAAGUGGUCGCCUGUGUGGUAGGCCGUGUGUGAGACACAGCCGUGUGAUCAAUGUAGGCAUGGCAGUGCACAAGACAUGGCCAUGUGGUGGCUUGAGUGUGGCCAUGUGGGCCACACAGGCUAGGCCAAGUUGGGCACAUGGGCCACACGGGCGUGUGGGCCCACACGGGCAGGCCACACCUGCAUGUGGGCCCAUAUUUAUGAAAUUUUCCCUAGGGUCGUAUGGGUCGCUCAUAUAGACCGUGAGCCUACUAUAAAGUCGGUGAGAGAUAUUUAAACCCUAUUUUGAAUGUUAUGAUAUUCUUAUAGACUAAUCUGAAUAGGAUACUAAAUGUAUGCCUGACUGUACUGCCAUAUGUAUAUCUGUUAUUUAUAUAAAAGCCUGUUGAGCAUGUUUAAUCUGAUAAAUCUAUAUCUGAUUUUCUGUAUUUGAUUUGGGGUGGGAUUUAUAUAUAAGGAGGAAGUAUUUUGUUCGGCGUUAAUCGCCUAUAUUCUGGCAGCUUAGCUACAUAUAUUAUGAUAUGUGUCUUAAUGGCACAAUAUGGUGUGUAAGGAUGGGUGGGUGUUUUUAACCCCACAUGGUGUGAUGGGACAGUCGAAGAUGGUGUGUAGAGGAGGGGGUAAUCCACAGACUUAGACGGAUCGGUGCGACGGAGUCUCAUGGUGACCACAAGUUUGUGAAUUGACUUUAAAAAAUGGUUUUAUUUAAUUUCGAAUUAUUUCUAGAAGUUUUGUAAUUAUUAGACUCUCUGGACUGUUUAAAUUUUUAUUUGGUUUUGGUUAUGUUUUAACUUUUAUUGCGACGUUUGACUAAAAUGACAGUUUUACGAAAUUAAAGGUUUUUAUGAAAAUUCGAACUAGAUUUCCAAAAUAUAAUGGUUUUAAAAACCUCUACUAUAAGUUAUGUUUUGGAAAAUGAAAUAAUUAAAUAACAUUUUCAAUAAUAGUUAUAAAACUUGGAUUAUUUUUCCAAACAACACUACUUUCAAAACUCAAUCCUUGUGAAAUCACCAUAUUCAGCCAUAGCAUCUAGGCUGGGUUUGGGGUGUUACAUUUUGUGGUAUCAGAGUUAGGUUGCAAAAUUCGGCUGUGAAUUUUAGGCUCCAAAGUUAUGUUUUAAAAAGAAUUGAUUUUGAAAUCAUUUAAAUAAUAUGAAUAAUUUGAGAAGGUAUGUGGUACAUCGAGUUUCUGGCACCGAUCUUAUAAGUGUUUCUAACUUAGUUAGAACUGCUCUGAAACACUAUAGAUGGUACCUUUUAGAAUUGUACUGAGUAGUUAGAGACUGAAACCUUUUAAAACGAUUUUGAACUUCUGAUAAUUUAUACAUAAAACAUCUGAUAAUUUAUACAUAAAACAUCUGCUAAUAAAUACUGGAACUGAUACAUAAAAUUUUUAAUGUAGAUAAAAUUUAAAAUUUACAAUGAGCGCUCGUGGAACUCCCGGACGUGGCAUUCGAGGCCGUAGGGGGCUUGAGCUGAGUCUUCCUCUCUGGGUAGUAUGUCAAACUUAGAUAUGAGUAAGACACCAGUUUCACCUGCUACUGAGACUGGGUCUCAAAGUCAUUCGGCUGGGGAUGACGCACUGUCCAAAGCCAUGUUGAGGAUCUUGGAGAGGGUCGCUGGACCCCAUUCUAGAGCUGGAGGCUGAGGGUCGGUAACUAAAUGACUCCGGUUUAAUGGUGAUGAGCUACUUAGAGGUGUCACUAGAGACGCCCCUAAUAUGGCCGAUUAUUGGUUGGAGGCCACCGAGAGGAUCAUGAAUGAUCUAGACUGCACUCUUGAGUAGAAACUGAAGGGUACAGUCUCUUUGUUUCGCAAUAAGGCUUAUCAAUGGUGGUUGAUGGUUGAGGAGGGUACUCAGCCUGAUCGCUUGAAUUGGGAUUACUUGAAGACCACCUUUCAGAGUAAGUACGUGGGGGCGAACUAUGUGGAUGCUCGCAGGUGUGAAUUCAUGAAUCUCACGCAAGGUGAUAGAUCUAUGACCGAGUAUGAGGUCGAGUUUCUGAGCCUGAGUCGCUACGUUCGAGACAUGGUAGAUUCUGAUAUGAGAGGUGUGUCUACUUUGAGGACGGUCUAAGUGAUAACUUGAGGGUUUUGAUUACUCCAUAGAGGGAACGGGAGUUCACAGUUUUAGUUGAGAAGGCGGAGAUCGCCAAGGAUGUUAAGCCCGUAGAGCACCAGAAUAGGGUUUGAGAGAGGGUAAAGAAUAAGAGGGAUUCAGAGCCCUCUAGUUUUGUGCAGAGGCCUAAGAAAAAGGCCAGACCUGAUGGGCCGGUUAGAGUGGGGGCUCCUGUUGCUCCUACUGGGAUUCAAUUGUGUGGUGAUUGUGGUAAACGCCAUCCGGGCGAGUGUUGGAGGAAGAUAGGGGCUUGUUUGAGGUGUGGAUAUUUAGAGCACCGUAUUCGAGAGUGUCCACAGAGGGCUGAUCAAAUGCAAGCUUUGGGACCGGGUUCUGCGCAGUCUCAGAGGGCAGAUCAGCAGCAACCUAGGGGUCGUGGACAGGCUAGGGGUGGUAAUGAUAUGGGUCGUGGGCAGAGAGCACCGGGCAGAGGUACUGGUCAGACUGAGGCAAGGUAGCCUGCAUUGGUUUAUACUACAUAACGCCGAGAGGAUAGAGUGCUCCUGAUGUCAUCACCGGUUAGCUCGGGGUUGGAGAUCGUUGGAGGCAUCAUCACACUAUCAAGCUAUCACCUUUGGGGCAUUGAUACAUAUGUUAGCGUUUUCAAGUGAGAGGCAUGUAUAGGUGCUGAGUUUUAUGAUAUGAGUUAUUUUGGUUAGCCAAAUGUAUUGGCCUAUAUUGAGUUAUUUGUAUAUGGCCAUGAAGUGUGACUCAUAUUGAUUAUGGUUUGUGAACUUAUCUAUCUAUGCUAUGUUCUAAUGCUUGUGAUGUGAUGAUGUGAUUAUGCUUGUUGGCCAUAUAUGGUUGGUGUUAUGAAUUAUGUGCAUGAUGAAUGCUUUAUGACCAAUCGAAAUGAUCAUGGCCAUGAAUUAAAUGUGUACUAUGGAAAUAACAUGAUGAUUAUGAAAAUUUGGUAAAA